rnacentral:rRNA from 1 species
GACGACCUCAGAGCAGGCGAGACUACCCGCUGAAUUUAAGCAUAUUACUAAGCGGAGGAAAAGAAACUAACAAGGAUUUCCUUAGUAGCGGCGAGCGAACAGGAAUUAGCCCAGCACUGAAUCCCGCGGUCCUGCCGUUGGGAAAUGUAGUGUUCGGGAGGGUUCGUUUUAUCCCGCGGCGUCGGACCGCGUCCAAGUCCAUCUUGAAUGGGGCCAUUUACCCGUAGAGGGUGCCAGGCCCGUAGAGACCGGGACGCGCCGUGGGUGAACCUCUCCUUAGAGUCGGGUUGCUUGAGAGUGCAGCUCUAAGUUGGUGGUAAACUCCAUCUAAGGCUAAAUAUG